rnacentral:tRNA from 4 species
UGGACCUUUAGCUCAGUUGGUUAGAGCAGACGGCUCAUAACCGUCGGGUCGUAGGUUCGAGUCCUACAAGGUCCAU